AGGACGAACGCUGGCGGCGUGCUUAACACAUGCAAGUCGAGCGGAAAGGCCCUUCGGGGUACUCGAGCGGCGAACGGGUGAGUAACACGUGAGUAAUCUGCCCUUAGCUCUGGGAUAGCUCCGGGAAACCGGGAUUAAUACCAGAUACGACCACUUUAGACAUCUGCCGUGGUGGAAAGAAUUUCGGCUAAGGAUGAGCUCGCGGCCUAUCAGCUUGUGGUGGGUAACGGCCUACCAGGCGACGGACGGGUA
rnacentral:rRNA from 1 species